rnacentral:ncRNA from 2 species
AGGGGCCCGCCCGCGAACGGUUCCCGGAGACGGGAUGAAAAGGGAAGUCGGGAAAGGCUGAAAGGCCCGCACCCGCGCUGCCCCCGCAACUGUGAUCGGCGAGUGCCGUCCACCCAUGCCACUGGAGCGAUCCGGGAAGGCCGGGCGGCACGUUUGACCCGAGAGCCAGGAGACCUGCCGGUCGCACGUCGAUCCA